rnacentral:rRNA from 1 species
CCCUUAGAUGUUCUGGGCCGCACACGCGCUACACUGAUGCAUUCAACGAGUGUACCUUGGCCGAGAGGCCUGGGCAAUCUUUUGAACGUGCAUCGUGAUAGGGAUAGAUUAUUGCAAUUAUUAAUCUUGAACGAGGAAUUCCUAGUAAACGCAAUUCAUCAAACUGCAUUGAUUACGUCCCUGCCCUUUGUACACACCGCCCGUCGCACCUACCGAUUGGAUGGUCCGGUGAAGCCUCGGGAUUGUGGCGGUUGCCUUUAUUGGUGGCCGCCGCGAGAACUUGUCUAAACCUUAUCAUCUAGAGGAAGGUGAAGUCGUAACA